UGCCUGCCAGUGACAACUGUUUAACGGCCGCGGUAUCCUGACCGUGCAAAGGUAGCAUAAUCAUUUGUUCUCUAAAUAAGGACUUGUAUGAAUGGCCACACGAGGGUUUUACUGUCUCUUACUUCCAAUCAGUGAAAUUGACCUUCCCGUGAAGAGGCGGGAAUGCAUAAAUAAGACGAGAAGACCCUAUGGAGCUUUAACUAACCAACCCAAAGAAAAUAAAUUUAACCAUUGAGGAACAACAACAAUCUCCAUGAGUUGGUAGUUUCGGUUGGGGUGACCUCGGAGAAUAAAAAAUCCUCCGAACGAUUUUAAAGACUAGACCCACAAGUCAAAUCACUCUAUCGCUCAUUGAUCCAAAAAUUUGAUCAACGGAACAAGUUACCCUAGGGAUAACAGCGCAAUCCUAUUUAAGAGUCCAUAUCGACAAUAGGGUUUACGACCUCGAUGUUGGAUCAGGACAUCCUGAUGGUGCAACCGCUAUCAAAGGUUCGUUUGUUCAACGAUUAAAGUCCUACAUGAUC
rnacentral:rRNA from 1 species